UUAGAUUUCCCAUAGCGUAAGCUAGUAAGACCCCUCGAAGAACACGAGGUUGAUAGGUCGGAGGUGUAAGCAUGGUAACAUGUUCAGCUGACCGAUACUAAUAGGUCGAGGGCUUGACCAA
rnacentral:rRNA from 1 species